rnacentral:rRNA from 1 species
UGGGGUAUUUUGGACAAUGGGCGCAAGCCUGAUCCAGCCAUGCCGCGUGCAGGAUGAAGGCCCUCGGGUUGUAAACUGCUUUGUACGGAACGAAAAGCCUCUUUCUAAUAAAGAGGGGUUAUGACGGUACCGUAAGAAUAAGCACCGGCUAACUACGUGCCAGCAGCCGCGGUAAUACGUAGGGUGCGAGCGUUAAUCGGAAUUACUGGGCGUAAAGCGUGCGCAGGCGGUCUUGCAAGACAGUGGUGAAAUCCCCGGGCUCAACCUGGGAACUGCCAUUGUGACUGCAAGGCUGGAGUACGGCAGAGGGGGAUGGAAUUCCGCGUGUAGCAGUGAAAUGCGUAGAGAUGUGGAAGAACACCGAUGGCGAAGGCAGCUCCCUGGGUUGACACCGACGCUCAUGCACGAAAGCGUGGGGAGCAAACA